CUUGCAAAAGUGUCAUUAAUAAUUUCAAGGGGGAAAUAGAUGAAUGUAUUUAUAUUGGAAAUUCAAAAAACCAUAUAUAAAGAGGCAAAAUUAUGUGCCCUUGAGAAAUAGGAAUUCCUUUCCGAAAUGAGAACAUUUUCAGAAUCAUUAUGGUAAUCACCAUUUUGCAUUCAGUGGGGACAUAUUUAUGUUUGCAGUGUUUUAAAGCUUGACUCAAAUGUAGCUGCUAACAAAGCAUAUCUUUGCCUGUCGAGCUCUCAUGGACUCUCUCGUCUUCUAAUUGCCCAGUGAAAGUGCAGCAUCAAGAUGCUUGGGCAACAGCUAAUCGUUCAUAAGUGCUGGAAGCAGGAGAGCUUUUACAGAAUGAACAGCAAUCAAAUAUGAAAUCCAAAGAUGAAGGAAAAGAAAAUAAUGCUCUUUGAAGAGUCAGGACAGGAGAAUUACUAAUGCAAUGGGAGGUUUCAAAAGAAGCGAUGUUUUCAACUAAACUAUAGAAACAGCAAGAAAGUUAUCUGUGUUUUCUAGCUUCCAGGAAGAAAACCUUUGACCAGCCUGUUACCAUCAGAGAUUCUGUGAGAAGACAUUAUAAAAGCUACUUCCCGUAUGCAUAAUAUUUAUUAUUUGCCUAAGUAUUUCCUCCAAAUAUUAAUGUAAUCUGCUUGCCUCAUAAAAAGAACAAAUGCCAAAUACUUCUUUUAUUAUUUUAGCUUACAUCCUAUCCUGGCAACAGACAUGGUUAAGUAGGUUAUUUCUAUGCCCUUUCCUCUGAGUCCCACC